rnacentral:rRNA from 1 species
AUUGAACGCUGGCGGCAGGCCUAACACAUGCAAGUCGAGCGGAUGAAGGGAGCUUGCUCCUGGCUUCAGCGGCGGGCGGGUGUGUAAUGCCUAGGAAUCUGCCGGGUAGUGGGGGAUAACGUCCGGAAACGGGCGCUAAUACCGCAUACGUCCUGAGGGAGAAAGUGGGGGAUCUUCGGACCUCACGCUAUCAGAUGAGCCUAGGUCGGAUUAGCUAGUUGGUGGGGUAAAGGCCUACCAAGGCGACGAUCCGUAGCUGGUCUGAGAGGAUGAUCAGUCACACUGGAACUGAGACACGGUCCAGACUCCUACGGGAGGCAGCAGUGGGGAAUAUUGGACAAUGGGCGAAAGCCUGAUCCAGCCAUGCCGCGUGUGUGAAGAAGGUCUUCGGAUUGUAAAGCACUUUUAGCAGGGAGGAAGCGCAGUAAGUUAAUACCUUGCUGUUUUGACGUUACCAGCAGAAUAAGCACCGGCUAACUUCGUG